rnacentral:rRNA from 1 species
CAGUCGCCGCGGGAAUACGUAGGUGGCAAGCGUUGUCCGGAAUUAUUGGGCGUAAAGCGCGCGCAGGCGGGUCAGUUAGUCUGUCUUAAAAGUUCGGGGCUUAACCCCGUGAGGGGAUGGAAACUGCUGAUCUAGAGUAUCGGAGAGGAAAGUGGAAUUCCUAGUGUAGCGGUGAAAUGCGUAGAUAUUAGGAAGAACACCAGUGGCGAAGGCGGCUUUCUGGACGAAAACUGACGCUGAGGCGCGAAAGCCAGGGGAGCGAACGGGAUUAGAUACCCCAGUAGUCCCUGUCUCUUAUACC